AGAUGCGUAAGCAACGCCGGCUCACUU
rnacentral:piRNA from 1 species